UUAAAAGAGGAUUUUAAUAUCCGUUAUUAAAAAUUUAAAAAUUUUUAUAACCAUUUUCCUAAACUUAAAAAGUGUAGGUGUCUUUUUCUUGUCCUAAAAAGAAUGAUAUGUAAAACUAAAUUUUCUAUUAUUCAAUUUCGAUUUUAUAUUUGUCUAGAAAGUAUGACAUGAAGUAACAGUGAGCUGGAGCACAAGUGUUGAGCUCGUGAACACAAGGUACAAAGUACAGAUCUUUCUGCUCGAUUUAUAUAGGUACUUGACUCCCCACUGUAAAUCCAUGCAGUUGGGUACAAGAAAAUGUCUGAAAAAUGAUGAUACAUGUACAAAUCUGUGCGUAUGAUUUUUUUUUUUUUUCCUAUAAUCCAUUAUAACGACUUGCGUGGCCAAAAGGUGGUUAAAUGAAACUGUCCUAAGAUACUCAUCAUUAUUUCUGGUAAGUGCAUUUACUUUUUAACCGAUUUUUCCAGGUCACAUGACCUGUCAUCUUAAAUUAUACAAAGAAAUUUAUACAUGUAUCAUUAUAUAAUUGGAUGGUUGAUAAUUUUUUAUAUUAUCUAAGUAAAUUAAUUAUAUUAUCUCAUUAACUAUCGAUAAAUAUUAAAUAUUUGGGAUAAAUUUUAAAUCUAAGAUAAAAGUUAAGUGGAUUCGAGAUAAGAUAAGAAAUACCCUCUUGUUUGAAAUAAUAAUAAUAAGUUGUCUUCUUGUUGUUGUAGUGUCAAGUGUGCGAACGUGUGUCAAUGAUUCGAAGAAGAGCAAUGGAGAAAGAGUUUGUCACCAAACAAAUUAUAAUUCCAACAAAAGGGAUAUGAGAUCAUUCUUCACCAACACCAACUACUUGUAAUCCAACAAGAAACUCAAAAAAAAAUAUAUAUAUAUCAAUUAUCUUUUCCGCGUUUGAACCACAAUGUCAAACAGAUAGAUGAUGAUAGAGAACAAAAAUUAAACAAAUCAAAACCAAACCAAGCACUGAAAAUGACUCCCACUAAGGUAAUAGUACUUAGGGAAAUGAAAUGGAAAAUGAACACACGUUACUUGUAUUGGUUCAUCAUGGGCCGUCUCAUCCAAGCGAUUAAACAAGUUUUCAAGCAAGCAGGCUAAAUUUGAAUAGUGUGGGAUUUAUAGAAGAAAAAAGUAGAUUUAACCUUUAUCCACCCUCUAACCUUUUUGAAAGAAAAUAACAUG
rnacentral:lncRNA from 1 species